rnacentral:rRNA from 1 species
AGAGUUUGAUCCUGGCUCAGAUUGAACGCUGGCGGCAGGCUUAACACAUGCAAGUCGAACGAUGAAAUCUAGCUUGCUAGAUGGAUUAGUGGCGAACGGGUGAGUAAUGCUUAGGAAUCUGCCUAUUAGUGGGGGAUAACCAUCCGAAAGGAUGGCUAAUACCGCAUACGUCUUACGAGAGAAAGGGGGCUUUUAGCUCUCGCUAAUAGAUGAGCCUAAGUCGGAUUAGCUAGUUGGCGGGGUAAAGGCCUACCAAGGCGACGAUCUGUAGCUGGUCUGAGAGGAUGAUCAGCCACACUGGGACUGAGACACGGCCCAGACUCCUACGGGAGGCAGCAGUGGGGAAUAUUGGACAAUGGGCGAAAGCCUGAUCCAACCAUGCCGCGUGUGUGAAGAAGGCCUUUUGGUUGUAAAGCACUUUAAGUGGGGAGGAAAAGCUUGUGGUUAAUACCCAUUACCCCUGACGUUACCCACAGAAUAAGCACCGUCUAACUCUGUGCCAGCAGCCGCGGUAAUACAGAGGGUGCAAGCGUUAAUCGGAAUUACUGGGCGUAAAGCGAGCGUAGGUGGUUACUUAAGUCAGAUGUGAAAGCCCCGGGCUUAACCUGGGAAUUGCAUCUGAUACUGGGUGACUAGAGUAGGUGAGAGGGAAGUAGAAUUCCAGGUGUAGCGGUGAAAUGCGUAGAGAUCUGGAGGAAUACCGAUGGCGAAGGCAGCUUCCUGGCGUCAUACUGACACUGAGGUUCGAAAGCGUGGGUAGCAAACAGGAUUAGAUACCCUGGUAGUCCACGCCGUAAACGAUGUCUACCAGUCGUUGGGUCUCUUGAACACUUAGUGACCCAGUUAACGCAAUAAGUAGACCGCCUGGGGAGUACGGCCGCAAGGUUAAAACUCAAAGGAAUUGACGG